AGUGAACGCUGGCGGUAGGCCUAACACAUGCAAGUCGAACGGCAGCACAGUAAGAGCUUGCUCUUACGGGUGGCGAGUGGCGGACGAGGGAGGGAUACAUCGGAAUCUACUUUUUCGUGGGGGAUAACGUAGGGAAACUUACGCUAAUACCGCAUACGACCUACGGGUGAAAGCAGGGGAUCUUCGGCCCUUGCGCGAUUGAAUGAGCCGAUGUCGGAUUAGCUAGUUGGCGGGGUAAAGGCCUACCAAGGCGACGAUCCGUAGCUGGUCUGAGAGGAUGAUCAGCCACACUGGAACUGAGACACGGUCCAGACUCCUACGGGAGGCAGCAGUGGGGAAUAUUGGACAAUGGGCGCAAGCCUGAUCCAGCCAUACCGCGUGGGUGAAGAAGGCCUUCGGGUUGUAAAGCCCUUUUGUUUGGAAAGAAAAGCAGCAGGUUAAUACCCCGCUGUUCUGACGGUACCCAAAGAAUAAGCACCGGCUAACUUCGUG
rnacentral:rRNA from 1 species